GACGAACGCUGGCGGCGUGCUUAACACAUGCAAGUCGAACGGUGAAGCAUAGCUUUCUCUGUGGAUCAGUGGCUAACGGGUGAGUAACACGUGAGUAACCUGCCCUUCACUCUGGGAUAAGCGUUGGAUACGACGUCUAAUACCGGAUACGUGCUGAGACCGCUUGGUCAUCAGUUGGUAAGAUUUUUUGGUCAAGGAUGUACUCGCGGCCUAUCAGCUUGUUGGUGAGGUAAUGGCUCACCAAGGCGACGACGGGUAGCCUGCCUGAGAGGGUGACCGGCCACACUGGGACUGAGACACGGGCCAGACUCAUACGGGAGGAAGCAGUGGGGAAUAUUGCAAAAUGGGCGCAAGCAUGAUGCAGCAACGCCGCGUGAGGGAUGACGGCCUUCGGGUUGUAAACCUCUUUUAGUAGGGAAGAAGCGAAAGUGACGGUACCUGCAGAAAAAGCACCGGCUAACUACGUG
rnacentral:rRNA from 1 species